AGGCUCGAAAAUAUUGGCAGAAAAUUAGAAAAUGGUUGGAGGAAAUGACAAUAGAACAGAUCGAAUUCAAACCAGAAUUCUUUCUAUUAGGGAUCUUUAAUAAACAAUUUCCCAAAAAAGUUGAGUAUACAAUAGUACAUACUUUGACAGCGGCCAGAUUGGCUUUUGUACAGUGUUGGAAACAACCUCAUGUUCCAUCAGAGAAAAUGAUUAUUCAAAAAAUGUCAAGUUGUGCAGAAAUGGACAAAUUAACUUUGGCAUUAAAAGAUGAAGAAACAUCAAUGUAUUAUGACAGCUGGAACUGCUGGUACGAAUGUAUAGACCAAAGACAGAUUACACAAUAAAGGGCAAAGGAAGAUAUGUUAUAAUUGUAGCAGUGAUUUUAUAUAAU